rnacentral:rRNA from 1 species
GAGUUUGAUCCUGGCUCAGGACGAACGCUGGCGGCGUGCUUAACACAUGCAAGUCGAACGGAAAGGCCCUUUCGGGGGUGCUCGAGUGGCGAACGGGUGAGUAACACGUGGGUGAUCUGCCCUGCACUUUGGGAUAAGCCUGGGAAACUGGGUCUAAUACCGGAUAGGACUACGGCCUGCAUGGGUUGUGGUGGAAAGCUUUUGCGGUGUGGGAUGGGCCCGCGGCCUAUCAGCUUGUUGGUGGGGUGAUGGCCUACCAAGGCGACGACGGGUAGCCGGCCUGAGAGGGUGUCCGGCCACACUGGGACUGAGAUACGGCCCAGACUCCUACGGGAGGCAGCAGUGGGGAAUAUUGCACAAUGGGCGCAAGCCUGAUGCAGCGACGCCGCGUGGGGGAUGACGGCCUUCGGUUGUAACC